AGCAGCCGCGGUAAUUCCAGCUCCAAUAGCGUAUAUUAAAGUUGUUGCAGUUAAAAGCUCGUAGUUGAGUUUCGGGGUUAGCAGGUCGGUCGUGCCAUCGGUAUGAACUGGUCUCGCUGAUCCCUCCCUCUUGACGAACUGUGAUGCCGUUAAUUUGGUGUCGCAGGGAAUCAGGACUGUUACUUUGAAAAAUUGAGUGUUUAAAGCAGGCUCACGCUUGAAUACAUUAGCAUGGAAUAAUGAAAUAGGACGUUUGAUCCUAUUUUGUUGGCUUCUAGGAUUGACGUAAUGAUUAAUAGGGAUAGUUGGGGGCAUUAGUAUUCAAUUGUCAGAGGUGAAAUUCUUGGAUUUAUUGAAGACUAACUACUGCGAAAGCAUUUGCCAAGGAUGUUUUCAUUAAUCAAGAACGAAAGUUAGGGGAUCGAAGACGAUCAGAUACCGUCGUAGUCUUAACCAUAAACUAUGCCGACUAGGGAUCGGAUGAUGUUAAUUUUUUAAUGUACUCAUUCC
rnacentral:misc_RNA from 1 species